UAGCUAGUUGGUGAGGUAAAGGCUUACCAAGGCGACGAUCUGUAGCGGGUCUGAGAGGAUGAUCCGCCACACUGGAACUGAGACACGGUCCAGACUCCUACGGGAGGCAGCAGUGGGGAAUUUUGGACAAUGGGGGCAACCCUGAUCCAGCCAUGCCGCGUGAGUGAAGAAGGCCUUCGGGUUGUAAAGCUCUUUCGGCCGGGAAGAAAUCGCAUGGGCCAAUACCCUGUGUGGAUGACGGUACCGGAAUACGAAGCACCGGCUAACUACGUGCCAGCAGCCGCGGUAAUACGUAGGGUGCGAGCGUUAAUCGGAAUUACUGGGCGUAAAGCGUGCGCAGGCGGUUUUGUAAGACAGGCGUGAAAUCCCCGGGCUUAACCUGGGAACUGCGUUUGUGACUGCAAGGCUAGAGUACGGCAGAGGGGGGUGGAAUUCCACGUGUAGCAGCGAAAUGCGUAGAGAUGUGGAGGAACACCAAUGGCGAAGGCAGCCCCCUGGGUCGAUACUGACGCUCAUGCACGAAAGCGUGGGUAGCAAACAGGAUUAGAUACCCUGGUAGUCCACGCCCUAAACUAUGUCAACUAGGUGUUGGGUGGGUAAAACCAUUUAGUACCGUAGCUAACGCGUGAAGUUGACCGCCUGGGGAGUACGGCCGCAAGGUUAAAACUCAAAGGAAUUGACGGGGACCCGCACAAGCGGUGGAUGAUGUGGAUUAAUUCGAUGCAACGCGAAAAACCUUACCUACCCUUGACAUGCCAGGAACUUGCCAGAGAUGGCUUGGUGCCCGAAAGGGAGCCUGGACACAGGUGCUGCAUGGCUGUCGUCAGCUCGUGUCGUGAGAUGUUGGGUUAAGUCCCGCAACGAGCGCAACCCUUGUCGUUAAUUGCCAUCAUUUAGUUGGGCACUUUAACGAGACUGCCGGUGACAAACCGGAGGAAGGUGGGGAUGACGUCAAGUCCUCAUGGCCCUUAUGGGUAGGGCUUCACACGUCAUACAAUGGUCGGUACAAAGGGUUGCCAAGCCGCGAGGCGGAGCCAAUCCCAGAAAGCCGAUCGUAGUCCGGAUUGCAGGCUGCAACUCGCCUGCAUGAAGUCGGAAUCGCUAGUAAUCGUGGAUCAGCAUGUCACGGUGAAUACGUUCCCGGGUCUUGUACACACCGCCCGUCACACCAUGGGAGCGGGUUCCGCCAGAAGUAGGUAGCCUAACCGCAAGGGGGGCGCUUACCACGGCGGGGUUCGUGACUGGGGUGAAGUCGUAACAAGGUAGCCGUAGGGGUCCUGCGGCUG
rnacentral:rRNA from 1 species